GACGAACGCUGGCGGCGUGCUUAACACAUGCCAGUCGAAUGAAGAGCGAUGGAAGCUUGCUUCUAUCAAUCUUAGUGGCGAACGGGUGAGUAACGCGUAAUCAACCUGCCCUUCAGAGGGGGACAACAGUUGGAAACGACUGCUAAUACCGCAUACGAUCCGACCUCGGCAUCGAGGAUGGAUGAAAGGUGGCCUCUAUUUAUAAGCUAUCACUGAAGGAGGGGAUUGCGGCUGAUUAGCUAGUUGGAGGGGUAACGGCCCACCAAGGCAAUGAUCAGUAGCCGGUCUGAGAGGAUGAACGGCCACAUUGGGACUGAGACACGGCCCAGACUCCUACGGGAGGCAGCAGUGGGGAAUCUUCCACAAUGGACGAAAGUCUGACGGAGCAACGCCGCGUGAGUGAUGACGGCCUUCGGGUUGUAAAGCUCUGUUAAUCGGGACGAAAGGUCUUCUUGCGAAUAGUUAGAAGAAUUGACGGUACCGGAAUAGAAAGCCACGGCUAACUACGUG
rnacentral:rRNA from 1 species